AUGCCGCCUAGAUUAGAGGAAUUGGAGGCCGUCGCUCCGCCAUGUUCCGUUCAGGAGCCGAAACAACAGGCACCAAUGGCCGCUCCGCAGCCGGCGGCCAACACAAGGAAGCUCAAGGCCAUCGCCACCGACGUCGGCCGCCCCGGUGCAGGAGGAAACAUGCACGUGCUCGGGCCUCGGGGAAAUUGGCAGCGUCGUCCACGCCCAGGUCUUCGACAGGUCCAGCUACCGACAGGGAUCAAUCGUCCAAUCAUCAAGAGGUUUGGUGCUCAACUCUUGAAGAAGGCCUACACCGAUCCAUCCAAGGCACAGGGCCGCCGCCUCUUGCUGUUACUCGCAGGGGAUGGUGAGAAAGAUAGAGUCGACGGCUAG
rnacentral:rRNA from 1 species